rnacentral:rRNA from 1 species
UACGUAGGGUGCAAGCGUUGUCCGGAAUUAUUGGGCGUAAAGAGCUCGUAGGCGGUUUGUCGCGUCUGCUGUGAAAACCCGAGGCUCAACCUCGGGCCUGCAGUGGGUACGGGCAGACUAGAGUGGCGGUAGGGGAGAUUGGAAUUCCUGGUGUAGCGGUGGAAUGCGCAGAUAUCAGGAGGAACACCGAUGGCGAAGGCAGGUCUCUGGGCAUUAACUGACGCUGGAGGAGCGAAAGCAUGGGGAGCGAACAGG